rnacentral:rRNA from 1 species
UUUAAUGUGGCUGCCAAGCAAGGAUUAAGGGUGUAGGGUGUCGAGAGCGGGGGUAGAAGGAGCCUCUUGGAAGAGAGAGGUGUACCGACCUACGCUCGCCGACGAGGCUAGUUGUAGCGCUGCCAAAGCCGCUCAACUAAGCCGACGCCCUCCUAAGCGCCGCACCACCCACCGGAACCGCCGCACGUUGUGAACCACCGGACCAGUUGCCAUCCGAUGUGCCGCCCGCCUCCCUCUCCUUGCCGAGCGGGUGGACGUUGGAGCAGAGGUCGUCCUUAGCUCAUCCCGGUAGCGAGGGGGUGGAGUGAGAGGUGGUUGUCCGACGAUCAUGAACUACUAACGGUGAGCAUGCACUCAUGGUGUGGUCGGUGGACGUUGCUCUAGGGGAUAGAGGUCUAGGUUCAAUGGACUUAAAGUAUACGGAGGGUUCCAAUCUCUCUAAAACUAAAGCCAGGUUAAAGGAGCUGUACACUGGGACAAAAAUUUUAUGUAUCUCUUAACACUGGGUAGAAACAAUGACAUUCGUCAGAGCUAACACUUAUAGGGGUUAACGCAGUUAAAAAAGAAAGAACGUAGCUUAACAGACUUGGUCAGGUUAAAAACAAUACCACCUAAUUAUGACCCAAUCUAAGAUACUAAGACACUACCUGAAUUUGAGUUACACUUACUAGACUACAUCCAUCUAAGUCAACGUCCUCGAGUUCAAAGACAAGAACCAACCUAGUUAGUUUUAGAACAAAUACACUACCAUAAUACUUUUAUUGUUCACCUCCGAAGUAUAACGUCCGUUGUUCUUCUCGUGCGUAAUUAAUAUAAGAAUAUUGCGACCAGAACAAACGAAAGUUUCAUCCGACGGGUACGCAAAAAUGUUGUGUAUGAGUACUGUUUACCAAGCCCCAAGUAAGUGGGUAAGUAGAAAAGGAUGAUCGAAAAAGAGUAGUAACACACACUCCCUCGAUCAAGAGAAACAGAAGUACACGAACUGCGUACCCCACUAGAACUCGGACUCAGGUCGCUAGAAGAAAAAAAUCAACCAACACGAUGUCUAAAAACAAAGUCCAAACCCCCAGAUCAUGACAAAAAGUAGCGUCUUUCCGGACGAUCAGCAGGUAUGUAUGAUGCCCGAACGAAAUAAACGUUAACGAGAAAAGAUACGUUAAAAAUAGUUACGACGGAAAAGAAGAAGUUCUUAACACUUUGACAAUAAUUUUAGGAUGAACAAAUUAGUCUACGGAUCAACAAAUAAAAUUAAAGUCAACUGACAGAGUAUAUAAUAAAAACUUCCAUAGUGGUGCUCUUCCUCUUCGUUCCCCUUCGAUGUAAAGGUUCGUCUACGGUUGACAACGUUAACCUCAGAUAUUGAACAAGAGUACCUUAACCACCACCGUCAGCAGAGUUUUUCUGUCACUCACGUUCCGCGACCAAAGGAUACUACAAGACAAUACGUUGUGGCAAAACGAAAAGUAAGCAGCAGGUUGUCUAGUUUUCAUCAGAGUCUUCAUUACUUCCGACACGAACUGCGGACAUUUAAUAGACUAACUGCUUAAGACUUAGUACACCAGGACACCUCUGUAAAAAGGUUCAAGGGAACUAUAUGAUAAUUUGGACCAUCCAUAUUAACAUAUUCAUGUGGAUAUUCGCAGUAGACUAUAUCACCUACGAGAGUCAGUUACUGAUAUGAAUAACAGCGGAAACAACAUACGAGAAGG